rnacentral:lncRNA from 10 species
GAUACCAAAAAGUCUAGGGCAACAGACUGUGAAAGGUCAUAUGAUUGUGAGAGGUGAAGCCGGCUGGGAUUCUGGGUCAGGUGGUGACUUGGAGAACUUUUCUGUCUAGCUAAAGGAUUGUAAACACACCAAUCAGCACUCUGUGUCUAGCUAAAGGAUUGUAAAUGCACCAAUCAGCACUUGUAAAAAUGCGCCAAUCAGCACUCUGUGUCUAGCUAAAGGUUUGUAAAUGCGCUAAUCAGCACUCUGUAAAAACAGACCAAUCAGCACUCUGUAAAACAGACCAAUCAGCGCUCUGUAAAAUGGACCAAUCAGCAGGAUGUGGGUGGGGCCAAAUAAGGGAAUAAAAGCUGGCCACCCGGGCCAGCAGCAGCAACCUGCUCAGGUCCCCUUCCAUGGUGUGGAAGCUUUGUUCUUUCGCUGUUCACAAUGAAUCUUGCUGCUGCUCACUCUUUGGGUCCGCACUAGCUUUAUGAGCUGUAACGCUCACUGCGAAGGUCUGUGGCUUCACUCCUGAAGUCAGCAAGACCACGAACCCACCGGAAGGAGGAAACAACUCCGGAAGCACCACGUUUAAGAGCUGUAACACUCACUGCGAAAGUCUGCAGCUUCACUCCUGAAGUCAGCAAGACCACAAACCCACCGGAAGGAAGAAAUUCCAGACACAUCUAAACAUUGGAAGGAACAAACUCCAGACACACUAUCUUUAAGAACUGUAACACUCACCGCGAGGGUCUGUGGCUUCAUGCUUGAAGUCAGCCGGACCAAGAACCCACCGGAAAGAACCAAUUCCUGACACAAUCGUUCUUCAUGGUCUAUGACUCCAAGGUCUGAAAUGAUCUCAUUUACCCCACAUGAUAGAUGUGGCCCUUCCAGAUGAGGAGUUCAACAAGACUACAUGGUAGAGCAGCCAGAGAACCCACUGGAAAUAAGGCUCAAAAUAAGGAGUAACCACAAAAUAAGAGACAGAGAAUGCUGAUUCACUAUGCAGUGAAACAUGCCUAACGUGUCAACAGCUAAAUGCCCGGUGACAGUGUGGUUGUCUGGGCAACAGAAGAAGUCACCCACGCAAACACUUAAAGGACCAUACUUAUUUUACAAGAGGAACAGUUUUCAAUGGAAUGGAUAUUAAAACACACACCUGGAUCCCUUUACCACAGGUGCUUUGAGAGGCACCAUCAAGGACAGUGAGCUAACGCAGGAGAAUGGAGUCCCAGAAACCUAGGAGGAGAAGACAAAGUGUCAGCCUCUCGGCAUCUGCAGUGUUGCUAGGAAAAGAGCUCUGAUCCCAGGGGCUUACCCACUUCCACAGGUAGGAAGCGUCCCUGAGAGGACUGGAACAUUAGCAUAUCUCAGAUCCAUCUGCAAAACUUUUGCAAACACGGAACUCCCUCGUUCUAAUCUUAUCAGCAACUUCCAGAGCUGAACCUUGAUUAAUCUGGAUACAAAAAGGAUUGAAACGCCACAUAAUAAGCAUUAACAGGAGGGUGUUUCCUUUAUCAAUGAAGCUUGAUUUAUCCAUGAUGAUCUAGUGCAUUCUCCUCCCAAAAAUCAGGAUCAUCCUCUGCAUAUGAAGGAACAGACAAGCCCUCAGCUCUACCACUUUGGAGAGGGGGGGAUUGGACAGCAUGAGCCUUCAAUUGUAUCUCUUGGAUGACCAAGGAAGGCUGGAUUUCUGCACCUAAAAAAUGGAAGCACAAACUGUACAACAAAUACUCUCCAUUCAAGUUGAAGUUCUCAAAUAAGUUUUGAAAGGUUCACUCCAGCUACUCUGUUGACAAUGGAUUAUAGAAGACUGAACAUGGAAUCCAGGAGACCAGUCAGAAAACUUCUUCAGGAAUCCAGCACAGUCUUGGCCUGUUCUGGAGAAUGCUCCCCAUCAAAAAUAAUUGACUGGAGACAAGCCAAGUCAGGAUUCUCCCUGGGAUCAAUUUCUGAUGGCGCUUUCUUCAUAAACAGGGGGACCUUUUCAAAUUCCUCUUCCCACUGGUCCUCAUGAAAGCCGCCACGGUAAGGCUGGCUCUGGAACUUUUCCAGGAACAAGUCCGUGGCAUCGUCUGAGGUGGGGUCCUGCUCAGGUUACUCCAUAACUGAUGCCCUGCCCUCCAGCCCAGGUCCCGGCACCGUGAAGUGUAGAAAAUACUCUACAAUGAAUAAAAAUAAAAUACAAUAUUCAAGAUUUAUGAAUGCAAUAAAAGCAGUGGUCAGAAGGAACAUUUAAGCUCUAAACACAUUAAAAAAGAAGAAUGAUAUUAAUAGAAAAUCUAAUUGUGUAUCUUACAUAACUAGAAAAUGAAAAGCAGUCUAAAGCCAAAGCAUGAAGGAGGUAGGAAAUAAUGAUUAGAGGAAACAUAAAUGACAUAGAGAAUAGAAAAACAAGAGAGAGUAUCAAUGAACCUAAAAUUUGGUUCUUUAAAAAGAUUACCAGAUUUGACAAACCUUUAGCUAUACUAAUAAUAGAAGACUAAAAUAAAUAAAAUUAAAAAUGAAAUCAUAGACAUUAUAACUGAUACCAUAGAAAUACAAAGGAUCAAAAGAAACUACUAAUGAACAAUUAUAUGCCAACAAAUUGGAUUACCUACAGGAAAUUGAUGAAUUCCUACAACAUACAACCUACCAACGCUGAAUCAUGAAGAAAUAGAAAAUCUAAACAGACCAAUAGUGAGUAAAGAGAUUGAGUCUGUAAUCAAAAAUCUUACAAAAAAGAAAAGCUCAGUAUCAGACAGCUUCACUGAUGAGUUCUAUCAGUCCUUUAAUGAAAAUUUAUACCAAUCAUUGCCAAACUCUUUCAUAAAAUUGAAGAGAUGAGAAUAGUUCAUAAUUCAUUGUAUGAGGCUGGCAUUACGUAGAUACAAAGCCAGACAAAGACAUUACAAGAUUGUCUCUUUUAAGUAUAGAUGCAAAGCCUCUUGAUAAAAUCCUAUCAAACUGAAUACAGCAGCAUAUUAAAGGGAUCAUACUCCAUGACAAAUGGGAUUUAUCUCAGUAAUGCAAGAAUGGUUCAACGUAUGAAAAUCACUCAAUGUAAGAAACCACAUGAAUAGAAUGAAGGGAGAAAAAAGACCCCAAAAUAUACGAACAUUUCAGUUGAUGCAGAGGAAUCAUUUGAUAAAGUUCAACAUUCUUUUAAAACACUCAGUAAAUGAAGAAUAAAAGAUAUCUUCCAUAACACGAUAAAGGUGAUAUAUGAAAAACCCACAGCUAACAUCACACCCAAUAUUGAAAGACUCAAAGCUUUCCCUUAACAAUGGGAACGAGAGCAGGAUUCCUACUGUCGCUAUUUUUACUCAAUAUAGUAGUAGAAAUUCUAGCCAGAGCAAUUAGAGAAGUCAAAUAAAUGAAAAUCUUACAAAUUGAAAAGAGAGAAGUUCUCCAUUCACAGAUGACCUGGUCUUAUGUGUAGAAAGCUCUAAGGAUUUAAUAACAAAACUAUUAGAGCUAAUAAAUGAAUUAAGCAAAGUUGUAGGACAAAAAAACAAUAAACAAAAUCAGUUGUGUUUCUAUACACUAGAAAUAAGCAAUAGGACAAGUUUUUUAAAACUUUCUUUUUAUAGUAGCAUCUGAAAGAACAGAUAUGUAGGAAUUUAAUCGGAAAUUAAAGACGUACUGAAAACUACAAAACAUUGCUGAAAUAAAGAAGUCAUAAAUCAAUGGAAUGUGUUCAUGGUGUAAGAUUUAAUAUUGUUAAGGUGAUAAUGCUACUCGAUUUGCUUUGCUAAUCAAAGCAAUCUACAGAUUGAAUCCAACAAUUUUUUUUUUCUUGUGGAAAUAGAAAACCCAUUCUAAAGUUCAUAUGAAAUCUUAAGGGACCUUGCAUAGCCAAAACAAUCUUGAAAAGAAUAAAUGUGGACAACUCACAUUUCCUGAUUUCAAAACUUAUCACAAAGAUACAGUAAUCAAAACAGUGAGGUACUUGUAUAAAGACAGACAUACAGACCAAUAGAUUUGAAUAGAUAUUCCAGAAGUAAACUCUCACAUACACAGACAAUUGAUUUUUGACAAGGGCACAAAAGCCAUUCAAUGGGGAAAAGGACAAUCUUUUCAACAAAUGGUGCUGGGAAAACUGUGUAUCCACAUGUAAAAAAAUGAAGUCAAACCUUUUCCUCAAAUUAUAUACAGAAAUUCACCAAAAAUGAAUAAAAUACUUAAAUAUAAGAACUAAAACUAUAAAACUCUUAGAGGAAAACAUACAACUAAAUCUUCAUGAUAUUAAUUUCUUAGAUAUGACACCAAAAGGAUGAGGAAUAACAAAAAUAGAUAAACUGAAGGGUAGAAAGCAAAGUGAUAAUGGAAGAUGAGAGUCGAGUGAUGUGACCAGGAGCCAAGGAAUGCCAUGGCCUCUAGAUGUGGGGAGUUAAGGGACCAAUUUUCCCUGGAAACUCCUGAAGGAACUUGCCAUGCCAACACCUUGAUUAUAGCCCUUUAAGAUACAUUUUGGACUGUUGAUCUCCAGGAUUGUAAGAUAAUACAUUCGUGUUGAUUUAAGCCACUGAAUAUGUGGUGAUUUGUUACAGCAGCAAUAGUAAACUGAUACACAAUCUCAAUGAAAGUAGGGAUUUCUGUCUUCCCACACCCUGCUCACUUCACUAGAGAAUUUAUAGCACUUAGUGUAUUCUUCGAUAAAUAUUUGUUGAGUAAGAUGAAUGAAGCCAGACUUUAGAGUCAGAUUACACUUGGCUGGUUAACUGUUGUGAGGAAAGCAGUUGAAAGUUCUCUUGGCCUUGCUUCUACUUGCACUGGGAAGCACUGUCAUCAAUGAAGGGGUUGCUGUGGGUUUCAAGAGAAAAGAAAAGGUGUGAGAAUCUCCCAGGUACAGUGGGAGCUCAUCUGGACUAGGGAAAUAAAAUAGGAUUGCUUGGUUAUUGCUCACUUGGUCACUAAUAUAACAUGAAUUGAGACAGUAUGGUUGUAUAUUUUUCUCCAAUUAAGGUUAUGGGGUGGCAUGGCCUAGGGGAAGUUACUUAUUUUGCAAGGGUGAUUUGAUAGAGGCAGCAAGCCAGGUAGCUGGGAUGUUUGCAAGGGCAUGAUCAUAAUGGUGUACCAUGCAAUUUAAGCAGGGGCAGGUGGAAAUAAGGACUUGAUGUGAUAUGUUCAGAUCCAUGAAUAAGACAUCAUAACAGGAGUCACAGUAUUGUCAGACUAGAAGUACUGGAGGAAGGGAGCUGGACAUUUGAAAGAGAUGGGAGGGUGGAAUGUUUGAGAUUGAGUGAAUGGAGGUGCUGUGUUCAUUUGGUCAUGCUAAGGUCUUGGGGUGGCCAUGGGAGGGGUGGGUGGCUGAGGUGGGGCAGAGGACAGACUCAUCUGGAGAUGAUGCAAUAAAUGAAGGGGAAAGCUAGGCCCUGCAAGGAGCUCUCUUGUGUGUAUUAAAAUCAUCAAAAACUGUGGCAGGAGUGAUUGCAGAGAUCCUAGUGACCCAUGAUCAAGGAAUGAAGAGGAAGACCAGCGGUCUAGAGAUUACUGCACAUGUGGGGUGGGAAGAGGGCGGUAACAGAUGACAAUCAUUAAUUUGAUAAAAAAGUAUUGAAUGUCUGCUCUGUGCCAGGCACAUGGUGGUAGGGUCUGAUGGGAGGUUAAAGGGAAGAGAGGUGGAUAAUGUUCUGGAGAUUUCAAUGAGCAAGAAGGGUAUUUAGCCCACAUUGAGGCCCAACAGAUUGAAGCCUUAAAAGAAAACAGCAACACCUGAGAAGGAUGCCAGGAAAUGAGUCCUAGGGGUACAUGUGGAGUCAGCUGGAGCACAUCCAGGAAGAAGGACAGAAGAAAGACUGUGAAGGACUUGAGUCAGGGAGGGGUGUGAGCUGACUCAGAAAGGGUGAUGCAUGGGUAGGCCAUGGGGUGAGGGAUGAACGGGAGUCUUGGAUUUCCUGUGGUCACUCAGGGAAACCCAGCAGCUAAAAGUAAGUGAUUUAAGCAAAUGAAUGGACAGAUGAAUUAAUGAAUAGACUAAAGAUGGACAAAUGCUUCCACCAGCCUUGCUUCAGGCCCUAUUUAGAACUGAAGUUGACUUCCUCUUUCUUUUAAUAGCUGCAAAAAUGAUGAAUUUGAUUUUCGUCUCUAGAAGCAAUUUCCUUUUUAAAUCAGGUGAGGAUCUUGGCAGAUGCGAAGAAUCUUUCAGAACCUGCAUGUAUAUGAGAAAGGGAUAUGACAGCAUGAAGUUCUCCUGUUUGAAGAAGCUAAAUGGAGCCACUUUUUGACUCAGUUGACUGGGACCUGGAGCUGGUGCACUAUUUGAAUUGCAUGGUGUGCCUGCCGCUGCCUUUUGACUUCUCCAGCCUGUACACCUGCCUUUUUGGGGAGAACUGUGGUAACAUAUGGGGAGGCGUCCUGUAUUUUCUGCAAUAUCUGACAAAGAAAAACUAGUUGGUUCAUAUGUAUAUAUGAUCUUUCAACAAGAACGUCAAAUAAAUAUCUUCACUCCUUGGGGAGAAGCAGGUCAGAGCCCCACUGUCUCAGCUAGCUCUCACUUGGCUGUCUUGUUUUGGGGCUGGAAGGCCACACUGUGUUUCCUGGGGUAGAGGCGGAGUCUGGGCAUUCUCCCUUUGUAGCUGAGAGCUAAGAGCAGUUGUGUCUGCUUUGAUAAAAUAAAGUUAUUUUUUAGUUUAGUCUGAUCUCCAAAUCCUUCCCUUUCAGAUACCUCUGCCAUCCAAGAUCAGGGGAUACUAAAUUUUCAAAGCAUUUUCUCAGGAGUUGCAUGAGAAAACAUACACCUGCUCUUGUUUUCAAGGGGUGUGGGCAAGAAGUAAAAAGGACAAACUGUUAAUGAGAACACUUUCUGUAUUCCUCCCUCCCCACUGAUACAUACCAGUACCAUAAAAUUUAAAAUGAGUCAAAUGACUGCAGUAAGACUUUACUUUGGUAUACGAGGCAAAAUGUUGGACAUGGGUGCUAAUUAAUCAUCAGAGAGUUACAGGGGAACCUGGACGAAUUAAGACUGGGGCAAGAGACAGCUCAUCAAGGAUCUUGCCCUGUAGCUCAAGAAGAAAAUGUUUAACUUAGUUGCCUGGACACUCUGAGGAUAGAAUGAAAUGCUGUAUGCGACCUGUUGGCCUUGGAAGCCGGCAUGGAUUCAGCACCCAGGGUUGGGGUGAACCUUCUCUCCCUCACUGUGUCAGGCAUCUUAGUCUGCCCCAGGAUGUGCAGGCUGCCUGUCCCUGGCCUCACAUCCUGCUGUAAGUGGGAUUGUGACCCCCUGAAAUGCAUAUGUUGAAGCCCUAACUGCCUCUGUGAUGGUAUUUGGAGGUGAAGCCUUUGGGAGAUAAUUAGGGUUAGAUGAAGUCCUAAGGACCUCCAUGAUGGGAUUAGUGUCCUUACAAGAAGAGGAAGAGACACCAGAGCUUCCCCUCUCUCACCUGUGAGGACAGAGGUAGCAGGUGGCUGUG